CUUCUUCCACUUUCUCUUUUUGUUUUCUUAAAUUAGAUGGAUCAACAUCAUAAAAAAUUGGAAACACUUUAUGGCCGUCGUUGUUAUGUCGUUUAACAAUCUCAGCAAGCUCCUCCAAGCACCAACUUGAAAAGGCAUAAGUUUGUGAAAAAACGAUUAUCGAGCACCAUGAUUCCUGAAUUGCUUUAAAGAGUUCUGGCGCGAUCUCUUCACCGGCCUCCAGCUUUGGAUCAUCCCUGAAAGUAACGAUCCCACUCCUACUUAGAGCAUCAUAGAGAUGAUCGGUAAAGUUGUUGCGGGUAUCUUCACCUCUAAAACUCAAGAAAACAUCAUAUUUCUUUCUAGAAAUGGAGGAAGAAGUUGAAGGUAAUGACGACAUGACGAUGUACGAGAAAGAUGAUAUAUAUAUGUGUGUGUGGAUGUAGUGUUGAAAAUCAGAAAACUGAUCGCUCAAUACGCCAGAAAGAAACUAGAAUGAAUAACUAUAUAUGAGCAUGGAGGAGGAUAAAAACAGAUGCAAUUUUCCAAAUGAAUGCGCGUAGGUGUGGAAAUUGGAGUGAUGCAUGUGAAUCCAAGAAGGUGGGAGUGCCUACAAUAUUAUUCAAGUAAAGUGUUGGACGAUUUUUGUUGUACUUACUUUCACAUAAACCUGCCUAAGAAGAUAGAAUGAGAGGGCCCAACGUUGCUUGUUAGGAUUCUAUUCAUGCAUUAAUACAAAUUACAAAGACUUUGACUUACACAAUUUAUUGUUGGACGCUCCUGUCCUUUUCUCAUCACAAAAGAGACUAAAUACAAAGUAUAUGCUUGAAGAAAAGUAUUUUUAUCAAAUUAUAUUUAUUUAUUUCUUAUUUUUUUCAUAAAUUUUCGUUAAUAAUAUGGUUAUGAAAUUAAAUAUUAUUCUUUAAGAAUUCAUGUUUGAAUAGAAGAAAAUGUAAAAACCAAUGUAUACUCAACGCAUGAAAACACCAAUGUAGGUUCAUCCAACCAAAUCAUGUGACGAAUUUUCAAAUAAGAUGUUGGAAAAAGUGGUCAUUCUUUUAAUUCGUGUUUCCUAUAUGGGUUAAUAGAAAGCAACUGGGAGCAACCGUGAAGAAUUAGUCAAACAUGUUUCAAUCAACCAAGGUCAAACAUGUUUCAGUCUCCUUUUUCUGGAUGUGAAAACCUAAGUCUUGCGUUUUUUAAUUUUAAUUUUUUUUUAAAAAUAUUUUUAUAUUUUUUGAAAAUAAAUUAUCACUUUUUCAAAAAUUUUAAGAAUAUUUGUAUAAUUAUUUUUUAAAAAGGUUUGAAUUUUUUUUAUUUUUAUUGAUGUUGCUAGGGGUGUGCAAAUUUCAGAUAAAACCGAAUUAAUUCGGUUAACCGACCGAAUUCGGUUAAUCGGUUGAUUAACCGACUAAAUUCGGUUAAUCGGUUGAUUAACCGAAUUAAUUCGGUCGGGGUCAGUUAAUAAUUUUUUAGAAGUUCGGUUAACAGUUAAUUCGGUUCGAAAUGGGUUAGUUAACCGAAUUAACCAAAUUUAGUAAAUACUAUUAUAAUAUAUAAGUAUUCGGUCUAUUCAGUUCGGUUAAUUUUUUGGAAAUAUAAAUUAAUUGGUUGGUUAAGUCAGUUAAUUUUUUAUAUGCUUUAUACUUAUAUUUAUUUUAACCAAAAAUAAAAAAUAUAUAAAUUUCGGUUAAUUAAGUUAACCGACUGAAUUAACAGAAAAAGUUCGGUUUAGUUAGCGGUUAAGGAUUUAAAAGGGUCGAUUAAUUUGGUUAAUGGUAGUUCGGGUCGAUUAACCGGUCGGUUAACCGAUUGAACACCCCUAAAUGUUGCAACAGUUCCAUGUCAGCAACUAUCGUUGAUAUAGAGCACCACAUCAGCGCUAUAAUGGUCAACAUUAGUCAAAGGAUCUAUUUGACCAGCUUUGUUAGUUCAAGGGCUUAAUUGAGUGCAAAAAGUUCACAAUGGCUUAAUUGAUUUUUGCACCCAAUUGAGCCCUUUAACUAACAAAACUAGUCAAAUAGCCCCUUUGACUGAUGUUGCUCUUUUGUAUUUAAUAGCAACGCUUAUAUGGCUGUUAACAGAUGUUAUGUAUGCAAAAACAAUAAAAAAUUCAAAUCAUAAAAAAUAUUUUAAAUAUAAGUACACAAUGAACUUGGACACGCAUGUGUCUAGAUUCUUUCUACAAUCAUAAAAAAUUCUAAAAAAUAUUAAAUUCGUUAAAAAGUAUAAUAAUGAUUAGAACUUAAUUAAAAUCAAUAAAUUGAAAAAUGAGAAGCAAUAAUUAACAAAUAAAUUGUUAAUCUGGAUUUUAUGAUAUAAGUUGUUUAUGCUUGUUUUCUUUUUUAAAAUAAAAAACAAUAAACUAUUUUUUAAAAAGUUUUAUGAAUCUUAAUUAAUUUCUAUUUUUUUUAUAAUUUUUUAAAACAAUUCUAAUUGUUUAUGUUUUUAAAAUUCUAGAACAUGUAUGAACAAAUGGGUGUUCAGAUUCAAAUGAAUCUGGACAACCAUUUGUUUAGAUUCAUUGUGUGUUUAUUUUAAAAAUAAUUUUAUUUAUUUUUAAAUUUUUUUUGUUGAUAUGGCACUAUCACAUAAUCAAUCAGCAAUGAAGUGGCACUUCCAUGUCAGCAAUCAAUGAUGGCAUUGCACUACCACAUCAGCAAAUGGUGUUGAUGUGGCAUCUAUUAACGACGACAUCAGCAUUGCUGUUAAAUACUAAUGGUUAACCUCAGUCAAAGGGUCUAUUUAACCAAUUUUGAUAGUUCAGAGGCUCAAUUGGGUAAAAAAAGUUCAGGGGGGCUUAAUUGAUUUUUUAAAAAAAUACAAUGGCUUAUAAUACCAUUAAGACUAAAAAUUUAGUAAUCAUUUAUUUCUUUUAGAAUUUUAUAAUUAUCUUUGCUCUAUUUUAAUAAAGAAAUGUAAUUAAAUCUUAUUAUAUUUUAAAAAAUAUAUAAAUUUAAUUUUAUUAACGUUAUUAAUAUAUGUAUUUAUUUAAAAAGAUAUUUUAAGUUUAACAAUUUACUACAAUGUAUGUUUAAUAUUAGAACAUAAAAGGCUAAUUUAAUUAAGUAAAUAUUUUAAAAUAAAGAGAUUAUUUGAUAGUUUGAUGAGUUACUCAUUCAAUAUAUAAUACUUACUAAAUUUAGGGUUUUUAAAAGAAGCCUUAGAAUCUAUAAUAAUAAAAUUAUAUGGUUAACUGUAGAUGUGCUCAUUGGUCAGGUUAGGUCGGGUCCAUCCAAAAUUUUAGAGCCGUUUGUUAGGCCCCAGCUCAGGGCCAACUCGAAAAAUGAGCCUAAAAUUUUGUUCAAUCCCGACCUAGAUAAAAAUGUUAAAACACAGGCCUGACCUAUAUUAAUUUUUUAUAUAAAUUUUUAAAUAUAUAUAAUACAUAAAAAUACUAAAAAAUUAAAAUAAAUAUUUCCCAACAAAUUGAAAAUAAAUUUAAAAAAUAUAUAUUUAUAGUUAAAUAACACUAAGAUAGGUGCAACUUAACAAGCAAAUAUCUCUAAAAUAGUAACAAAAUUAACAAUAAAAUAAGAGUUAUACAAUAACAACAAAAUAAUAGGAACAUAUUAGUGAAAUGGUAAGAAAAUAGUGAAAAAAAAAACAAGAUAAUAGGAAUAUACAAAGUUCUCCUGAAAUUCUCGCAAAACUCUCUCUUAAUUGUGUUGUUGAACCUUGUCUCUCUAAGGAUGCUAAAAGUCCUAUUUAUAGGCUAGAAUUCAUGGCUAAUCAAAUUAGAAAUUCUCUAGAGUUAUUAGAGUUUGAUUGGGAAAAGAUAAUAGAGUUUAACUAGGAGAAGAAACUUGGUUUAGUAGGGAACACGUUGUCACACCGUGAUGUCGCUCAUCGGCUCGUCAGGAUGUCAGCUCUCCCUCAUCAUGACGCCUUCUCUAUUUUAGACUAAAUGUGAGGCACACUCUACAAAUCUCCACCUUGACUCGUAUUUCUAAAAACUCCUUCUUUGUCGAGCCCUGUUAUGGGCCUAAAUUAAUCUUUGCCGGAUACUUAACAAGUCUAGGUAGUGCUUGAACUCCUGAACAAAGUGAUACUAAAUGUCUAUGUGAUUUGUUCUUUCAUGAUGCAUCUGAUCCUUAGUGAGAUGUAUGACACUUUAACUAUCACGAUAUACAAUAGUCUUUUCACUUUUAUCAACCAACUCCCAAAGUAGAUCUCUCAACUAAAUGAUCUCUUUCACAACCUCUAUGAUAGCUAUAUAUUCUGCCUCUAUAGUUGAUAAUGUCAUAGUCAUUUGUAGAGUGGAUUUCUAGCUAAUUGUACAAUUGCAAAAAGCGAACAGAUAACCUAUGAGAAAUCUACUUUUGUCUAAGUCUCCUGCAUAGUUCGAGUCUACAUAGUCUACUAGACCUUUUGAACAUUUUCCAAAUUCCAAAAAAGUAUUAGAUGUCCCCCUCAAAUAUCUAAGAAUCCACUUAACAACUUGUAAGUGUAAUUUGUCAAGUUUGGCCAUGUAUCUACUUACUGCUAACAACAUAUGAAAUAUUGGGACAAAUACAAACCAUUACAUACAUUAAACUUCCAACUGCACGGGAAUAAGGAACCAAGGACAUAUACCUUUCUUCGUCUUCUAUUUUUGGUAAGUCUAAAGUCGAAAGUCUAAACUAUGCAGCUAAGAGUGUACUAACUAGUUUAGAAUCUUGCAUUCUAAACCACUCGAGAAUUCUUUUGAUGUAUUUCUGUUGUGAUGGAAGUAGCUUCUCGGAGUGUCUAUCUCUCAAAAUUUUCAUCCCUAAAAUUUUCUUGGUUGCACCAGGAUCCUUCAUUUCAAACUUAGAGUUAAGCAUGGUUUUAACUCGGUUUAUUUCUGAUGGAUCCUUGGUUGCAAUUAACAUAUCGUCAACAUAAAAUAGCAAAUAAAUAAAUUAUCCAUCAUCUAAACAUUGUAGAUACAUACAACUGUCAUACUUACUCUGAAUGAAACCAAUUCUUAACAUGAAGGACUUGAACUUCUUAUACCAUUACCGAGGAGACUGCUUCAGACCGUAUAAUAAUUUUUAAAAAGGCAAGCAUGGUCUUCCUUGCCUUCAAUCCUAAAGCCUUUCGGUUGCUAUAUGUAAAUGUCCUCCUUUAUGUCGCCAUGAAAGAAUGCAAUUUUCACAUCUAAUUGUUCUAAUUCAAGAUUGUGUAAUGCAACAAGAGCUAACAAUGCUCGAAUGGAUGUAUGCUUAACAACUGGAGAGAAAACAUCAUGAAAAUUAACUCCCUCCACUUGACUAUAACCCUUUGCGACCAACCUCGCGUUAUAUCUCAUGUCAUCUUGACAUAAUCCUUUCUUCUUUUUGAACAUCCUUUUACAACCAAUUAUUUUCUUUUUAGUGGGUGGUUUAAUGACUUUCCAAGUCUCGUUCUUAUUAAGGGACUCUAUCCCUUCUUCCAUAACAAUAAGACAUUUGUUGGAAUCAGAAGUUCGAACUACCAUUAUCCGUAUAACCAUUUUACAGACUUUCCAAUCUACUCUUCUAGUCAGGUCUUCCACUACUUGAAGAUCCCAAAGACUUCAUUAUUAUGCUUCAGGAAAUAUACAUAAACUUUCCUAAAGUGGUCGUCAAUAAAAGUUAGAAGAUAUUUGCUACCACCUUUAGAGAUGACUGGAGCCGAACCCCAUAAAUUGGAUUGAAUGUAGUCAAGGGUCCCUUUUGUCCUGUGUACUACUGAAUCGAAGCUGACUUGAGUUUGCUUCCCAUAAAUUCAAUGCUCACAAAAAUCUAACUUUCCAACUGCGGUGCUUGUGAGAAGACCUUUUUCACUCAAAAUGAUCAUACAUUUUUCGCUUAUAUGAUCGAGUUGCGUGUGACAUAACUGAGUUGAAUUAUAAUCCAUAAAGAGGAAAUUUUGUCAUGUUAUUGUGACAUCAUGGGAGUCCUUGUCGUGCCAUGGUGAUGAUUUCACCUUUAUUUCUGUAAUUGUUAUUGAACCAGUCACCGUUAAACCUUACAAAAUGUAUAAGCUAUCGAUCUUGCAACCAUUCGAAUCUAGAAUACCCAAAGGGACAAGAUUCUUAUUUAAAUCAGGCAUGUGCCUGAUAUCUAAUAAUGUUCUGAAUAUCCCGUCAUGCAUCCUAAUCUGAAUGGUACCAAUGUCGGUUAUUUUGUAAGGUGAGUUAUUUCCUACAAGCACAAUUCCACCUUCAACCAAACUAUAUGUGGAGAAUCAGUCCCUAUUGUGACACAUAUGGUAGGAACACCCUGAAUCCGAAAUCCACUCAUAUGUGAACUUAGACCUUUCGAUCGUUGACACUAACAAAAAAUCAUCACCUUUAACCUUGGCUACACUAGCUCUGCCUUUUACUUCACUUUCUUGUCAUUUUCAUCGGCUCUCUUAUUUUUAUUCUGAAGUUUAUAGCAUUCUACUUUGAUGUGACCCAUCUUUUUGCAGUAGCCACAUUGUUUGUUGUGGUUUCUUAAUUUCAAUCUUGCCCUAGAUCCUUUUUGACCCAAAUCCUUAGACUGUUGCCUUCCUCUAGCAACCAAAACUGAGGUUUUUCCAUUUGACUUGAUCUUUGAAUCUAACUUGUUGUCAAUUUAUCCUUACUCAAUAGGUUUCCCUUCACGUCCUCAAACGAGUCUCUCUCUAUCAUAAAUUAGGGUUUCCUUGAAAUAUUUGUAUGAAUGGGGCAAAGAAAAAGGCAAUAACAUUGUUUGAUCUUAAUAAUCUAUGUUGUCCUCAACAUUCUUCAGGUCAUUCAGGAGAGUAACAAAUUUACUAAUGUGAGCCUUAAUAGACUCGCCUUCGGCCAUACAGAACGUGUAUAAUCACUAUUUUAAAACCAAGCAAUUUGCGAGAGAUAUUGUCUUAUAAAGUGCUUCUAAUUUUCUCCAUACAGUUGUUGUCGUUUUCUUUGUAAGUAGCUUCUGCGACAUGUUGUUCGUGAGGCACAACUGAAUUGUUGACAAUGUUUGCUCAUCAAGCUCCUCUCAUUCUACCUGAUUCGCAUCUGCGGGCUUCUUCCUUUUAAUGGCCUUUUUUAAAUCAUUCUGAACUAGAAUUGUCGUCAUAUGAACUUGUCACAAACUAAAAUUUGUGAUCCCAUCGAACUUCUCAAUAUUGUACCUCAUCAUCAACUCUGAAUGGGCUGAAUGUGAAAACCAUACCAAACUUUGAUACCAGUUUAUUGGGUUAAACUCGAAUUAUGCAACGAAUAAGAACGAAAAACAAGAAAAUUGGGCACCCAAAUAUUUACGUGGAAGAAAUCCACCCAAUAGGAUAAAAAAUCACAAGCAAAGAAAAUUUCUCUAAAAUAAAAAAAUCGAAAAGGAGUACAAGAUGGAGAAAUAAAAUCAAACUCGAAUCCAAAAUAAAAAGUUCUCUUGAAAUUCCCGUAAAACUCUCUUCAUUGUGUUGUUGAACCUUGUCUCUCCAGGGGGUGCUAAAAGCCCUAUUAUAAGCUAAAAUUUGUGGCUAAUAUGAUUAGAAUAUCCUUAAGAGUUAUUAGAGCUUGACUGGGAAAAGAUAGCAGAGUUUAACUAGGAAAAGAAACCCGAUUUAGUAGGGAACACGUCAACAUAUCGUGACAUCGCUUAACGGCUCAUUGUGAUAUCGCUUAUCGCGUCGUUGAGACGAUGAGUUCUUUUCAUCAAGAUGUCGUGUGUUGCCGUCGGUAUGUUAGCUCUUUCUCGUCACGAUGUCGUAUCUUUUUUGGACUAAAUUAACGUGAGGCACACUGUACAAUUUGCACGUUAUUAUAACUUUGAAACUAAAAGCAAAUACAUUAUAAUUUGAUCGCCAUAUUUGGACUCCACUAACAAUAUUUUAUGGUCGGCAGGGCAUUAUAAUGAUUUAAUUGACAAUUAUAAUUCUUGCUUUAGUCAAGACUAAAUCUUGGUGGCUUUUUUAAUCAAAGAAAAAAUUUUGAGAAAUCCAAUUGAUGUAGUUUAGCCUAAGAACUACAAGCAACGAUACACCCAAAAACUCGAAUAUCACAAUAGAAUCGAAAAGCUCCCUAAUAAAACUCUCAAAACCCAUGGGUCACCAAAUUUUCAAUUAAAACAUCAAAUUUCUUCCAACUUUGAACCAAGUCAUGGAGCACAAGUCUUAUUAAAACCCAAUAAUUGACAACAUAAAAGAGAAAACACUCCCAUUCAAAAGAAAAAAAAGGUAAGAGCUAAACAAAUCUAUUCUUGACAUUUUUGAGCUCCUAGGUAAAACAAUAAAAUAGAGUUUUAGAUUCCUUAAAAGUUGGUAAAAAAAAAUUUGGGCCCUUAAAAGCUAAAAGAAAAUAUUUUGGAACCCCUUAAAAGUUGAUAAUUUUUUUUACCUUUAAAAGUUUUAAAAAAAUUUGUUCUCCUUAAAAACUGGAAAAUAAUAUUUUAAACCCCUUUUAUCCUUGGGUCUUGAGCGGCCGCUCCUCCACACGACCCCAGGACCAAUCCUAAAGCUAAACCAAAAUGUUUACAACCAAUGAAUCUAAAACCAAUCAAAAUAAGCACCAUAAAACCUACUACUCGGAAACUGAGCACCAAGACAUACAAAUAGAUGCAGGAGCAUAACAAAUGUCACCACCAUGCACCCCAUAAUUCUUUUGAGUCACUAUAGUUGAAAAUAAAAAUUGAUGAUCAUAACUCUCUUUUUCCUCGUUCCUUGAAUUUCACCACUACAUACCUUCAAUUAAUACCCAACUUGGACUGAAAAAUUCAGCACUCAAUGUUCAUAUUGUUCAUACGAAGAGGUAAAAAACGGCAUCUUUUCGACAACUCAAAUCUGGACCCCUAAUCAUAAACCAUCUUACACGUCACUCUCGAAACCAAACAGCACUUUCUCAUAAAGACAAUGCCAAAAAAAAAAUGCUGAAAACAUCAAAAUGACACCACUCAAUCUUCUCAUACCACUAAUAUCACCAAGCAAUUCUCAUCUCGCCCUUAGUGUUCCAAUAUUUUCAUACAACAACCUAAGAGAAGAACAACAUAAUUUACAAAACAUAACAGCUUCACCCUGAAAACAAAACCCAAUAUCCCCAUCCUAAGUACUCAACAAAAGAUAACUAAUAUCCCCCAUUUUGACUCCAAAAAUAGACCAUUGAGGAUGAAAAUUCUCAAGAAAACAAAAAACUAAAGACCAAUUUCAUUAAUAAUCUAGUUCAAAAAUUGGCGAACUGUGAGUCUUAUGGUACAAACAAAUUAUGAAUAAGCUGACCUUUUUUUGUUAAUAACUCUCGAACUGCUCCUUUAUUAAGUUACAUAGUUAUGCAAUUGACUUUGACCUUCUAAAAUUACAAAUAUAAUUAUCAGCACCAAAGACAAAUGGUUCAAAUGUAGAAGGUAUGCAUACACACAUAUAAUGGAAUUUUAUAUCUAAAACAAAUAUAUUUAAAUAAGUCAUUAUACUUUUGUCACAUCGAAAAUAAGCCCUUCUACUUAAACUCAUUUUCAAUUUCAAUAAAACAUACAUAUAUAUAUCUUGGAAGUCUUUCUGAAAUGUGUUGUAGUUCUUUAUUUAUGAUGGACUAAGAUUUGAUAACUGCCGAUCUGCAAAUAUAUUGCAUUAAGGGGUAGUUCUACAAGCAUUUCAUCAGUUAGGGCAUUUAAUCCUAAGGUCAGAAUACGUAAGGGAACCAUUUACAAUAUGCUCAUCAGUCAACUGCAUCUUUACAAACUUUGGGUUUUCAAAAGUGCAAUCUCGUUAAACAAAUCUGAUUUGUCAUUCUCCUAUUAAAAAAUUAUAAAGAUGACAUGAAAUCACAGUUUCAUACAAUCCCUUCUCUAACUCAAAGACCUAAUUGUUAGCCAAAGGAAACUUUGGAUUGUAAUUCGAAUAUAACCUCUCCUUUUGAGACAUACCAAGAAACACACAUCCAUCAAGUCAAAAAAAAUAUGCUUACAAGACAACCCAAACAAAACGAAGCCAAAGAGAUCAUAAGAGCAAACGAUCUCCAUCAAACUUUCCACAUCCAUAAGACAUCUCCUUGAUACAAUUAUAAUUAAAGGUAGAAUCACCAAUGAAAUCACUUCAACUUGAAAAAUGUCUGCUGAACAACUCACCUUGCAACAACCCAAGAAACCAAUCCAAUAAAACACCUUCAAAACUUGAACAAAAUUUGGCAGAUCAGAACACCAAAACCCAAAAAUCACUGUAUUCGAAUCCUAAAGCAACUAAAAGAAAUCGGUAAAUUAGCUCCCUCAAAAAGAACGUAUCCGACCUCCUAUUGUUGAAAAGUGGCCAACCAUGCUAUUGUUAUGUUUUUGCUAAAGUGCAUGCAGGCUAUUUGCAUGUUGCAGCUUUUGUGCAUGCUGCAUUAACAAGUUUAUUGUUUAGUUACGUUGUAAUUAAACUUAGUUGAAAAUGAACAAGCUGAUGAAAGUUUGAAGUGUUUAGGUAGUUGAAUGACUAGUUUAGGUGGCUUGUUUACGUGCACAAGCAAUGUUUUACAAGUUACUAGGCUACUUAGUGGUAGUAGGCAGUAUUUAGUGAUGUAUUUGGUUAUAAAUGUAUUGUUUUUUCUGGUUGAAUGAAUGAGAAAAAUGAGCUAUCAGCCAUAAGCUCCCUUGCUGCACGAUUGUGAGCAAGUAAAAAUAUUUCUUGCAUCUUGCUGUCUUGUUCUAUUCUCUGUUUUCUUCCUCUGCUUCUCCAAAUCGUCAACACCUAUAGAUCCAAAUUCAAUCUCCUUUCUUCAAUUGGCCUCAAUUUCUUUUCAUCCCGAUAACUUGCAAGUCCAACUUUUUGCUCAGUUCCCACGCCUCUGUCAGUUCCUUCCACAUCAUCUUCUUUCGGUUUUGAAAAUCAGAGUUAGAUAAAUGACUCAUUUGCGGACUUUCCCCAAAAGAUUAUGGUUUCGAAAAUUUAUUCUUACAACUCCUUCCUUUCACUUUAUUUUUAAUCCCAAGUUUCGCAGUUCUUUAUUGCUCCUAGUUCAAAUAGAGAUCUAACUUUCCUUGUUUUAAUUUUAUUGAACCCUACCUAGUCUCAAUCCUUGUGUCCGCCUUACGAUUGAAACUCGAAGUAGAAACAUUUGCUAGAUUCACCCCUUCAUGAUGUUGAACUUCAACACUGUCACCCAUAUUGCAUCCAUCAUCAAGGGAUGGGCUACGAAUAUCAUCAACACCCAAUUCCAGUCCUAUAUCAUCAGCCCGAUUCAAAGGUGUGCGCGGAACACAUUUUGUUAACCCAAUACAAGAAUCCACUUGAACCAAAUAUGUUGUUAAGCCCAUACCCCUUCAUCAUCAUCCACUUGAAUCAUAAGUCCAUCUUCAACAAAAUCUUAAAUUUCCAAAUCCUCGUUGCGUGGGUCUAUUGACUUUAUCAAUACCCAUUUUCCCAAAAACCUCCACUGACUAUGUACCUAUAUUAGAAUGGCCUUGGUCACAUUAUCAUCUACUAUAUUUACAAUGCCAUUAGUGUCCCACUUUGCCCUUUUUUCGAGAACCUCACUGUUUCCAUCACAACUAAUGUUCUUUAUCAUUUCGUCAAUACCAAGAGCCACCCUAUUCGCCGAUAUUCCUAACAUGCCUUCACUGCCAUGCUCGAUUUCCCAACUCAUCUCAUUAAAUGGCAUCAUCAUCAUCCCAUUCUCAAAGUCUUCUUCUUUUAUUUUUCUUCCUGAAACCGGUGACUCAUCACCUUCUUCUAAAGACAGACAAUCAAAUUCAGAGGACUCAUCAGAGAUCGAUGUUAAGGGAAUUUACUGAUAUCCUUUUGCUUUAUCAGACCCUAAGAACAUACCUGACGCCUCAGAGGCUCUAACACGAAAACCAUCUUCCAAAUUGAAGCAACUCAAUCCUCUGUAACAUUUUACUAUAAUCCUCCAUCAUCCUUUUAUUCGAACCCAAAGACACUAACGACCCCCAAGUCUCCGCAAUUCUUUUAUAGUGGCACAUAUGAAUUGGGACACCGUAAACCUCCACCCACACCGUCCUGUUAGUGGUGGUAGAAAACUUAGACCACGAAACAAUGUCGAUGAAGCAUUCACGAAGACAAGGCCAUUGAAGUUCUUCCAAUCUUGCUCUCAAGCCGUUGUCUUGAAUAGAGACCAGGAACUGAUCACCUGAGAUUUAUUGUGCCAAUUAGACAUUUUUCCAACUUAGUAACCUCUUCAUCAUCUACAUGACCCACAAUUUUCUUCAUACAAGUCAAUUCGCCAUCGUCCCUUAAAAUACAAACGUUUUCUCCUUCUGCACGAUUCGAAUUGCAUAUUCCUUGCUAGAAUGCUUGCUUUCUUCAGAAACUUCUUUUUGAGUCUAUUUACCUCCUGAGUACUUAAAGCACUUCCUACUCCCUAUUUGCAUCUUACCAGCCUAUUGCCUUCACCUUUCCCAUCCACUCUUCUCCAAAAUGCUUCUCUCCCAUUAAAUUUGGCAAUAUUGACCCUCAAUCAACAACCCCAAAUCCAUAGACCAUUGAUUCCUCUCACCAGUUUUUUAGCUUCCGUAAAACUAGUCACUUGUACAAAUGUAAAUAUUUGUCCUUUUCUAUGACUUUUCUGAGGCACAGAGAGGUCCUCACCAUAUUUUUUGCACUUUCCACGAUACCAUCGCCAAUUUAUGAAAUCCGGUGAAUUUUCAAUGUGUACGGAAACCAGCAUAUCCUUCUUAUUAAAAUUUGUCUAUUAAUAUAUAAUUACAUGUAUCUUUCUCCAAGAAACAAAAAUAUUGGGAUAUUAUUAGGAAAGAACAAUGAAUUUUUUUAGGCUUAACGUAUAGAUUAUUACCUGAGUUUGAUAAUUUUUUUUAAUGUAGCCUCUGUGUUUUUUUUGUUCAACGUGAUGCAUAUAUUUGAUAAAAAUUACACAUUUUUCUAAAAAUGAUUAUGUAACUUUUUAAUACUUAAUUUAAGUUUAUAGUUGAUUUGCAUCAAAUAAACUCUACACACCGAAUUAAAUUACAUUCAUCAAACUAUAUUUGACAAACUAAAUAUAGAAUCAUGACAACUUCAAACCUAAUAAUAUUAACCAUUAAGUUUCAUCAAAUCAACUUUAAAAUUUAAGUUAAACACUAAAAAAUUAAAAUCGUUAUCUUUAAAUCUCAAAAUAAUUUAACUUUUUUCAAAUCCAAGUCUUAGAUUGGACCGAAAAAUAACAUAAAUAUCACAUUAAAAAAUAUUAAAAUCGAGUAUCAAAUUAUAGAUUAAACCAAAUUUUAUGGCAAAUAUGAGUCCAAAUAUUGGUUAAGUUGCAAAAAUAAAAGAGAAGUUUUAAGGUUUUUAAAAAAUUGAAGAAAACUCGAAUUAAAAAUUUCAAGCCUCUUCAAAUCUCCUCUGAAAAAAAAAUCUCAAGCAAUAAAAUUGAUUUUUUUAAAGUUAAAACUUAUAUUAUUUAGGUUUAAAUAUUUGUUUUGUAAUUUAACUUAAUUUUUGGAGUUUUUUUAUAGUAUUAAGGAAAUUGCUUGCCUUUUAGGCGAUAAGAAGAAAUAACUUCGCCAUGUUGUCAUCCAAUAUCGAUGGCCCCCUAAAUUUUAAUUUUCUAAAUUAUCAACCAGCAUGGUGUUUUUUUUGGUAAAACAAUGAUUAAAAUCUAAGCUAUUUUUUAGGUAAACAAUGAACAAAAGAGAUGAUUUCCCCUUAAUUCACGUUUGAGUAACACAAUACUUAAUAUCAGAACAAUAGUCACAUAAUAUUUUCAUGCAUUUUGAUGAGAUAAACAUAAAAUCCUAUAAGAAACGUUAUCACCCUUACCUUAACCUUACUCAAAAUCUGUAACUCUUUUUUUCUCUCUUUUCAAAUAUGUAUUCUAGCUAACAUCACAAGAAACUUAUGCCAUGGAGUCACUCAUGAAGGAAAUUUGGAAUUUAAAGCUUGGGAUUGUUAGAAAUGAUGGAAAGGACAUAAAUGUAAGAAAAUGAAUAUUUUCUAUGGAUGGAGAAGGAGAGUGGUGUGAGAGGAGACGGAAAUGAUGAUGGAAAGUUUUCUACAUCUUUACACGAAAGUAUCUACUAAAUUUUAUAUUUUAAAAUACUAAUAAAAAAAUAAAAAAAUUCAAGUCAUCGUCAUCCAAACAAGUGGACCACAUUCAAAUUUAAUUUCAUCCACAAACUCAUCUACCCUUUUGGACUAAAUUGCUCUUCAAGUCCUUCAUCUUUUUCUCAUCCAUUGAAUCUAGUAAUUUCUUAUUUAUAAUUUACACUAUUACCUAACACUUCUUUCACUUUUAUAAUUUAGUCCAUACCUUAAAUUAAUUUCCCUUAAUUCAAAAGCCUUUUUAAUUACUUAUGAAAUCCAACUACCUUCUCCAUUAAUACUAAAAAUCUUAUUUUAUCUGCUUCAAAAAUCUUAACACGUGCACAACUCGAAAUGGCACCGUUCCCAUCUUGAGAGGUGUUGGGGAUGUUACAAACUAGCCACCAAAAAAAUACGACAACCCAUUUUUCAUAUACCAUCAUUGGUAGUAGAUUGAGGGCAUGAAAUCCCCCGUACAAGAUUCCAUCAAAGGCUUCCUUUCCAUUCGGGAAUUCCACAUUACAAUCCACUAUCGAUGCUCCAAUGUUCAAUUCUUUGCAUCUUUUCUCUUCUUAUUAAUGCCAUGGACAUUAUCAAAAUUGACUGGAACAUUCGGAACAUCUUGCUUACACCUAAAUUGUUGCAAAACCUAAUCACCAUUGUACCACUCAAUAGUUGAAAAAUUCAAAACAGGUGUGUUAAUGCACCACACGUAUGAAUGGUGGUAAGCCGACUGGAGAAUUUAGUUUGUCUCACCCAAUCCCCAUUGUACCACUUAAUUAGCAUUUUGUGUUAAAAAAUCCAUAAUUUGACUCAAAAUAAAAUGUUGAGGGCCACAUUGCUAAAAAGAAAAUAAUAAGGGUCAUAUAGUCAAAUUUUAUAAACGCCAUUAAACCUAAUGAUAGGUGCUAAAAGUAACAUGUUUUAAUUUCGUUCUUAAUGCAUUUUUGGAUGAUUAUUUGAUGUAAAAUGGUAAAUUUUAUGGUCCUAAUCCUUUAAAUUCAUGUUUUUAUACUUAGGAGAGCAUUUGGGAGUAAAAAGAGCGAAAAUUAGAAAAUCGGAGUAAGUUUCAGGAGUCACGCGGGCUGCCACACAACCAUGUGUCAAACCGUGUUGAAAUCGCGAAUUGCACUCCAAACUUUUGGGAAAAUACGUUUUUUAGGCAUUUUAAGACCUAUAUAAGACAAAAAUAAGAUGGGAGAGAGUCGUCAUAAAAUACUCAAGAAAAAAACUCAAAAAACACCAUUGAAGCCGACUCUAAAGUAGAUUUCUAUCGAGAUUGAAGAUCUCUUUUUGAUUUUUUUGAAGUUUAUUAUGAGUUUCUUUGUUUCUUAUGGUUAUACUAUCUUCUGAAUUUUUUUAUUUGCAAUUAUAAACUAAUUUUCUAAAUACCCAGGGGAGAUGAAUGUUAUGAUGAAUUCUAUCUUUUGAUUUCUAUUUUACACAAUAAAUACUUGAAUCUUUCUCAAUUAUAUGUGCUUAAUUCUUGGUUUAAUAUUUUCGGACUAUUAAUCCAUGUUUGGUGUGCUUAAAUCAAAGGAGGAAAAGUUUUUGUUUAAGAGUAGAUAUAGCAUAAUUAAGUGUUGUAUGCAAUACUAGAAAUAGGACGACAUAAAUCUACCGGAUUAGAGUCAAAUCUAAUAGGGGGAUCAAUGGAUCGAGUUAAUGCGAUAAUAGGGGUUUUAAUUAGAAAGAAAUUUCAAUUAAUCAACCUAGAGUCAGUUGUUUUUACUCUCGAAAGAGAUAUUAGUAUAAUUUAGGGAUUUCUACGGAUCAAGAUACUAAGUAAAGAAAUUGCAUAAUAUAGAUUGAUAAUGACAGAUGAAGUCUAGGUGGAUUCUUUCCUGCAUAUUAUUUCGCUUCUUGGUUGUUAAUCAUUUAUUUUUCUAAUUCAUUCUUUAUCGUGAUCCUUCGUUAAUUAAUUUAGUUAAUUUUAGUUUUAAUCAAUCUAUCCAAUUUGUCGGUUAAAUAAUAGAAAGACAGUAAUUAUUAGUACUUUUAAUCCUCGUGGGAACAAUAUCUUUGCUCACAGUAACUAUAUUAUUAAUUGAUAGAUGCACUUAUUUUAAUCAAAUUUUUAGUUAAUUUACGACUGCAUCACCUAAUUUAAAAAAUUACUAUUUGAAUUACAUUUUACAAACAACAAAUUUAAAAAGUUAGGUUUAAAAUAGUAUAACUUGCAUUACAUUACAUUACAUGUAAAAAGCAACUAAUUAUAUAAUAUCAUAAUCUAUUUCUCGAAAUCCUAAUUGCCUAAAUUCAUUGAGCCUAUAAAUGCUAAAGUGUCCACUUCCAUUUCAACUUGACUUUUGUUGGUCCCUCACUUGUAUGAUCCUUUGAGCCAACCAUGCUUCUAUUGGUCUAGGGACAAACAUAAAACACCAAGAUUAUUUUUGUUGCAUUUAGAUCAUUUAUAUCACUACUAUAUUAACUUACCUCAAAUUGAAAAUUUUUUAUUGAUAUAGAAAACACAACCGUUAAAAAUCUAAUUCAUGUCGACCAAAAAUCAUAAAUACUUAAUAAAAAUAAUAUACCAAAGAGUAAUUGGAAUAAUAUUAUUUGUAAUUCAAGUCACGAAAUUUAAAUGGUAAUUUUAUUAGAAGGAAAUAAAGCUAUUUAAAUACUAUUAAGGACUAUAUUUAAUCUUCCAAAUAUAUAUAAAAAAAUUGACUAAUUAAAUUGAACACAUAAAUUGAUCUUAAAUAAAAAUGGAAUGAUUUUUAAGGGUACCCAAAUUAUAAUUCAAUCCUCAUUAAAGGGUUUUCACCUUAUUAUUACCUGCUUUGUCACCGAAGCAUUUGGGAUUUGUACAAAAUAUGAGUAUGAAUAAAAGAUUAAUUUUUUUUCAUAUAUAAUAGAAGAAUCAUAUCUCAUAUCCAAAUAAGUCUAGAAUGAUUAUUUUAAAUGAAAUAAAAAAUGGAAAAACGUAAAUGUGUAAAAAAUAAAUUAAUAGGACAAGGUGAGAUAAGUAGUUUACACAGUUAAUGCUUCUUCUCCGAGUGGCCCAUUAUAAAAUUGAAAAUUUUUUGCAUCCAUUUUGGUUGCGGCCCUUCUUCCUCCGCUUCCUCGUAGAUAUUACGUUUUGGUUUUGUGUAAGAAAUGCUACCUACUGAUCCAUUGUUGCGAGCAGAGUGUUGGUGGAUGUGUUCAAAUUUUGGAGAAAAUUGAGUGCUAUGGCACUGCAACUCAUUUAUUUCUUCCAAAUCUUUCUUAUACACUAUUCUAAAAGCACACUUCUUCACCUUAACACUGCUUCCACUGAAAGACACGUCAAGCUCAUCAUCGCAUAAAUGAUUGGUUUCACAGUCACCAUAUUCAUCCUCCAAUAAAAAUGGAUAUAAUUUAUCACGCGACCAAUAACGAAGAAAAAGGUGAUCUUUCGUUACGGGCUCGUUAAAUCGUUUACCCAUAUUCAAGCGUUUCCGACUAAUCUCCCAACAAUUGACAGAUGCUGUACAAUUGAGAAGUUCGACCUCCUUUGAAGCAUCAUUAUUAACAAAAAUGCAGCAACAAGCAACUCCAAUCCAUUCUGUUGCGCGGAAGCGUGUGAAAGAGUAAAAAUAUUAUACUGAAAAAUCACACUAAGUUCAAUUCCCAAGAAAAAGAGGUAGAUCACGAAGAUCACUUAAAUACCAAGUCUUUCCUAGCCAAAAUAUCCCUUUAUCGUAAUUUAAUAGCACAAUAAAUCACUACAAUCACAUUCACAAAAUAUGCAAAAUAAAAAAUAAAGAACACCCGAAUUUUAACGAGGUUCAGCAAAUUUUGCCUACGUUCUCGGGCACUACCAAAUAUAUUUCACUCCAAAAAUUACAAGUGAAAUUUACAAAUAGGGAGAGAGAAUAAUGCCUUAAGUAGAGAAUGGCAAUUAUGGGAUGAAGAAAGUAAGAAAUGGUUAGACCUAUUUAUAGUUGAGGUUCAAUGAUCAACUUGCAAUGUCCCUAUACAAUUAGGGACCAAAAUUGUAAUUAUCCCAUGCCAACUUUUAACCCAACUUAUCAACCAAUAUUACUUUCUACUUUCGGUGCCCACCCCAUUUGACUUUUCAAACAAUGGUGGGUUCCAAUACAUUCACUAUCUUUCCGAAGGUUGAUAGGUAGGAAUAUUUUAACAGAAUCAAUUGAAGAGUCGCUUUUUUGUUGGCUAAACCAUUCUGAGAUUCCACUUCCGGGCAUAAUAAUAUCAAACCAUUCUGGGAUUUCACUUCCAGGCAUAGUAAUAUCAAACAUUUUCCUUGAAUUUGCAAAUGCCUGCAAAAUAAAACACAAGUCGUUUGGUAACUAAAACCAUAAAUUCUCAAGUAUGAGAUUUUGUAAGGGAAAAUAAAGAGAUUAAUCGACCUUAAGAUGUGUUUUCUGCAAUGUUAAUGCAUAGAUAUUCUCAGCCAAUUUGAAGCAGUUAAUGGCGUUAACGGCAGCCGAAUCCACUAAAUUGCUUACUUUUGAUGGACUUGCAACUACUUCAAGUGAAGCACAACCAUCUAUCCACACCGUUUUUAUACUUGUUAGAAGUUCAGGCAACAAUUUAAGAUUCAAGCAAUCUGAUAAUGCAAGCAAUUUAAGCUUUGAGAGUCGAGUAAAAGAUACAGGUAUGCUGAUGAAAUUGUUACCACUAAGAUCAAGAUGUAUCAAAGAAGAUAGACCAGAAAUAUCACGUGGAAUAUCUCCUUCACAAAGAUUGCAGUCCCUUAGAUUCAACUCUCUUAAUGAACUCAAACCUGACAGUGAAGGUAACAUCCGAGCCAUGGGAUUCGUCCUUCUGCCUUGGAUUACCUUGAAAAGAGAAGGCAAAUUUGGUCGUAACUUAUGUGAUGGUCCCUUGCGCCCAUUGAAAGACAGAACUUUAAAAUUUUUAAAUUGACAAAUGAAGGAUGGUGGUUCUGUUAUGGCUGUUUCACUCAAGUCGAGCUCUUCCAAAAACUUUGCUUGCUGCAAAUUUUCAGAUAAAUUUUCAACUCUAUAACAACCGGAAGGAUCUAGAGUUUUUAAACGUUCCAUUUUCCCAUCAAUCUCUGGAAACCUUACAAGACUUGAGCAACCCGAAAGAAUUAAUGUUUCAAGAGAUUCCAUUCCAAUUUUGGCCGGAAGACUCCUAAGACUUUUGCAAUCUCUUAAAUUCAAAAGUUUAAGGCUCUUAAGCAUUUCGAUUGAUGGAUGAAAAUCCACUAAUUUGGUACAACCUUUCAUGAUCAAAGCUUCAAGUUUUGGCGCUGUUGUGAAGUCUGGUGUCUUGAUCAGAUUUUGGGACCCUUCAAAGUUCAUCAUUUUCAACUUAUACAAGGGCUGUUGAAGUCCAUAAUAAAUUAGAAACAAAUGAGAAAACAUAAUAAUGCUCAUUUUUAUUUUUUUAUCUUAAUCAAAAUUUAAUCAUUUAUAUUAAAAUAAGCUAAAACACAAGGAUCAUAUGAGUUAAUUCUUACUCUUUUUCCCUUCCAUAGUUGUUUAAUGUUACUAUAAGGUAAAAGAAGUGCGACAAGAUUGUCCGGUUGGAAGCUUGAAGGCAACGAUCUUGAAGGCCAUCCUUUCCAAUCUAAAAGUCGUAGCUCAUUAGAAAGAUAAUUGAGAUCAUCACAAUUUGAUAGGCAAAGUACUUUGAGCAAUCUCAAUUUUUUUCAUUUUUGAGAAGGCAUCGACACUCAAGUUGAGCACCUUGCUCAAUUCCCUAAUAACCAUGAGCAAAACAAAAAUGAGCUUUAGAAUAUACAAAAACAUUCAAUAUCUAAGAACUAUGUUGUAUCAAUAUCGUUUUUUUAUGUACAUGUAUCCUAUACUUUUAUCUAAUGCAUAUCUGAAUAUCGAUAUUAAGAUCCUUUAAGAACUCUUUAAAUACAUAAAAAAAAUCUUCAAAAAAAUUGAACGUACCAAUAUUGAAGAUAUACACAUAUCUAACAAUCACAUAUCUUACGUUAUAUUACCUAAUCCUAAAAAAAUUGAAAUUAAUAUUUUGAUUUAUAUUUGGUCAGCCAACAAUGCAUAAUUCUAUACAAAUUAAUCAACCAAAAACAAUGAUACAUAAUUAAAAAUAAAACCAUUUUCAUUUAAAAAAAAAAACUUUAGAUGACAUGUUACAAUCUAAUUCAUUGAUGUAUACACUAUUAGUGCAUUAAAUAUAUACCAUUAAUAUUUCAGAAAGAUAUACAUAUUUCAAUAUUGAUUCUUUUAAAAGAGUAAUAUGUUGCUAGAUAAAUUUCAUAUGUAAACAUUGAAAAUAUAGAGUGUCAAAGGUUUUGCUAUAGUUUCUUAUCAUAUUUAAAAUAAAUAAAAUCAUUAUUUAUAAUACACAAAGAUAUAAAUUUAUAUGCACCUUCUUACCUUUUAUUAUCGAUGAACAUGCCUUCAAUUAUUUUUGUAGCCUAAAAAAAAUCAAGAAUAGAAAAUAAGAAAACAAAAUAAAUGGUGUAUAAUGUAAAAUUAAGCUUUUAAAAAUUUACAUUUUUAUUGAGCAUUGUAAUGCAAGAAAUAUAAUAAAUAAAGCAUUUUAAACAAUGUAAAACAGUUUCUAAUGAGGGCAAUGCAAUGAAAUUAAAUAUUUGUUUCUAUAAAUUUUUGUUAACAUUUGUAAACAUCAAACAAUAUUUAUGUCGAAAGUACAAAAUAUCACUUUUUAAGGAUGUUGUAUCAACCAAUUAGACUAAGCUUUGAAUUUUUAUCAUAUAUUAUUAGAUAUUCUAUUAAAAAAUAGUAUGUAAUUUUUGUUGAAUGACUUAUAGUGUUUUUGUUAGGAUAUGAUAGACAUCCGUUUCCUUCCACAAUCUGCAACAUUUUCCAAGUUUAUCAAUAGAUUUUUCUCUAACAAUUUUUCUUCUCAUUUCUUGCAACAAGUCAUGCAUCCACAAAUAUUGGUUGUCAUCAUCGACUUUUAUUAAAGAUUUUUUAAUGAGAACGUCAAUUCCAAUAUCGGGGAAAAACUCACAACCAUCUAAUACUUUCAUUACAAAAUCUUUCUUCUCCCCAUUGAAGAAGCAUGCUAUAUCUAGAAAUAUAUUUUUCUCUGUUUCUUCCAAUCCAUCAAAACUAAUUCGAAGUUUAUUAAGAAUUUCUUCAUUAGAAUCUCUUUUAAGUCUUUCAAUCGCACUUCUCCAUUGAGUCACAUCUCUACCGCAUAAAAAGGAACCUAAAACUUUAAGAGCUAAUGGGAGCCCAUCAGCAUAACUUAUAACAUGGUAAGAAAGCUCAAUGAAAUCAUCUUUCAGCACUAUAUCACUAUGGAAAGCUUUCAAAUUGAAAAGUUGAAGCGCAUCUGUGUAAUCCAAUGUUGUGGGUAUAUACACAUCAUCAACUUGGCAAGAUUGAAGCAAAUGUUCAUCUCUUGUUGUUACAAUGAUUCUACUCCCUAAUCCGAACCAAUCAUGCCUUCCAACCAAGCAUUUUAAGUGUUGUAUGUUAUCAACAUCAUCAAGAACAACAAGAACCUUUUUGCGAGACAACAUAUGACUAAUUAUAUCAUUCCCUUCAUGAACAUUGAAAAAUUUGAAGCAUUCAUCAUGAAAAAUUUCCGAAAGAAGUUGUUUCUGUAAAAAAACUAAUUCACAUUUGUCUGAAACUUCUCUAAUAUCAGCAAUAAGCUUUUACUUUCAAAAUGAUGUGACAUUUGAUUAUAAGCAAGUCUUGCGAGUGUUGUUUUACCGAUACCACCCAUUCAGCAAAUCCCUAUAAUGCGGACAUCAUUUUUCCCGAUGUUUAUUUUCAAAUAUAAAUCCUCCAAGCGUUGACUAAUUCCAACCAAGUCACUAUGAGUAACUGGGUGACAUAGUUUUGCUGAUAUCUUCUUAAUAAACUCUCUAAUAAAUUAUGAUUCAUGCCUACAAGGAAAGAAAUUUUAAUUUUUUGAAUAAUUCUUUUUUCAUAUUUUCAAAUGCACUCUCUUUUUCAAUGAAUCAUGAAACAUAAUAUAGUUUGGAAGCAAACAAGAACCAAGACACUUUUCAAUUAAACACAUAGGAUUGGAAAGAAAAAAAAAGUUAUACAUAUAUAUCCGAAAAAAUAGAAAAUAGAGAAGAAAAGAAAAUGUUACCUGUUAUUUAAAUGCCAUCCCUUGAUUCCAGCCACUUGAAUUAAAGCAUUUCGCCACCUUUGGAUCUUCUCACUAUCUUCUUUGUAUCUCUCUUCAUGUCUAGCAAGGGCUUCUUCCACUUUCUCUUUUUGUUUUCUUAAAUCAGAUGGAUCAACAUCGUAAAAAAUUGGAAACACUUUAUGGCCGUCGUUGUUAUGUUGUUUAACAAUCUCAGCAAGCUCCUCCAAGCACCAACUUGAGAAGGCAUAAGUUUGUGAAAAAACGAUUACCGAACACCAUGAUUGCUGAAUUGCUGUAAAGAGUUCUGGCGCGAUCUCUUCGCCGGCCUCCAGCUUUGGAUCAUCCCUGAAAGUGACGAUCCCACUCCUACUUAAAGCAUCGUAGAGAUGAUCGGUAAAGUUGUUGCGGGUAUCUUCACCUCUAAAACUCAAGAAAACAUCAAAUUUCUUUCUAGAAUUGGACGAAGAAGUUGAAGGUAAUGACGGCAUGACGAUGUGCGAGAAAAAAAAAUGUGGAUGUAGUGUUGAAAAUCAGAAAAUUGAUCGCUCAAUAUGUCUGAAAGAAACUAGAAAC
rnacentral:lncRNA from 1 species